UCCUUUUUUUACAUUAAACAAAAACAAUAAUAUCAACGUCAGCAACAAACAAAUGACAACAGCAGCGUACAAAACCAUAGCUCAUCCAAACGACCCCAAAAACCUUGAAUUCCAUAUGUUUCCCUUUUAUUUCAUAUAUGAUCAUGUGAUUUACACAUGUUCAUAUCCAAGAAAUAUCCAACAACUUCUAGAAUUCCUUAGGUGGUACACAUAGUUUCUCCAACAUUCAAAGAGGAUAUUCCCAAAUUGCAGAACCCGUACCAUAAAGAUACUUAUUUGUCUUAUUGUAGGAGAAGAAUUUGAAAUUUUACCCCAAUUUGUUCCCCCCCGCCCUCCCAAUUCAAAAAUCAGAAUUAGUUGAGUUGUAAUACUUAUCCUAAUCUUAAAUUCAAAAUCCUCAAGGAAUUUCCAGAAAUACCACUAAAAAUCCUUCAUCCCAUAUGGCCCAAGUCCCUAACAUAUAUUAUGAAUAUUCCCUAUAAAUACCUCACUAUUCUAUUAAGUUGAGGCAAUUCUCCGAGGUUGCAAAAAUCUCUUCGUAAAAGUCUUGAAGGUUAAAAAUAUUUUGAGCAAAUUGAGGAUUUCCGAAUUGAAAGAAGAUUUUUGCUCUAGUCUAAAAUUUCUAUUGAGGUCCUUAUAAGUAUCUAUCUAUUUGAGCUAAGGAUUUUGAUUAACAGUUCAUUUUUAUAGUGAUGGCUAAAAGAUUUCGAUAAGGCUCAUCGUCUGAUUUGCUUCUUAGGAAAAGAAAUGUAUUAGAGAUCAUUCGCUUAUGUUGCCUGUUGAGGAGAUUGGGGUGAAGGAUUCGUUAUCAUAUGAGGAAGAACCCAUAGCGAUACUAGAUCGGCAAGUUCGCAAGUUUAGGAGUAAGGAGAUAGCUUCGGUUAAAGUGUUGUGGAAGAAUCAUAAUAUUGAGGAAGCUGCUUAGGAGUCGGAGAAUGAUAUGUGUGCAAGGUACCCAUCACUCUUUGAAUCUAGGGAUGAUUUUAUGGAAGGUAUUAACUUUAUCUUACAUAUUUAUUCCUUGUAACUCUUUAAAUUGUGCUUAGCGUGUUUCGAACCAUCAUUCAGGGACGAAUGAUCUCAUGGGGAUAAUGUAACACCCCAUACAUUAAUCACUUAGAUAAUGCCUUAAAAAUGAUCCUUAGGACCCCUAUAUCGAUGGUAAACUAAGUCUAGUGGUUGUGGGUUGCAUUGGGGGUACUUUUGGGUGUUGAAAAAGGGUGGGCGUCGCAAAGGGGACUCCACAAAGGCUCUGCGCCGCGGAGGGAUCACCAAAGACCACUGGAAUGGGUUGGCUUUUGGCCUUGUGCCACUAACCCUGAGGUUGGCUUUGGCCAUACGCCGCAAACCCAGCGGUUUGCUAUGGCCAUACGCCACAGGGCAAAAUCCAAGAAUCAAAAGUUGCUCCAUUUUAUCCAAUUUCAAGGGCGUUGAGGUCUUUUCACAUCCUAUAACCGUCCAUAAUAAAAAAUGGACGAAAUUUAGGUUUUAACACACAUUAUUUCUCUCAUCAAAAUCCCUAAAUCAUUCUCCCUUAAGCAAGAGAAGAGAAACUACCUAGGGUUGAGGAUUUUAAGCUCCAAGGAUCGAAUUUCUCCAUGUUUUCGUCAUUAUCAAGGUAUGUCGUACUAUCCUAAAUCUCAUGGGCGUAAGGUUUAACAUUUUUACAAGUUUUAAAGUAUAUAUGUAUGUAUGUAUUAUGAGUUUUGAGAUUGUUUGGAGAGCAUGCAUUACGAACUCCAUUUUAUGAUGAAAUCUUACAAUUACUAGAGGUUCUAUAUAAAACUUAAAUCAUAAUCAUGUGAAAAUGAGUAUUGGGUUUUCGAAAAGUAAAUUAUGAGCAUGAUUUAUGAAAUUAAAAUUAUGAUCAUGAUUUAUGAAAUUACCUCUCUCGUUUUUCUUAACACGUCAUGGGGUGUUGAAAUGCAAUAUUAAACACUUGAAUUUAAAUGCUUUAUGAUCAUUUAUGGAUUUACAUUGUUUUAUGAUUCAUUGAAAGGUUGUUUUUUUUUUUUUUUAAUUUUUUUAUAUAAAUGCUCAUUGAGUUAAACGGUUGAUGAUGAAUUGAAUGUGAUAGAUGAAAAAGAUGACCACCUUAUGAUUUGAAUCUUGAAAAGAGAGUAUUUUGCAUAAGUUUUCAUAUGUUAUUUGAGAUAAGAACUCUCAUGUGAUGUUUAAAUCUCUUGGGUGGAUAUUAAUAUGCUUUUGAAUAAAAGGGCUAUGGAUAUGAUAUGGUAUGAUAUGAAUGACUUGCAAGUCUGGGUAUGAUGAUACUCUAUUAUGAUAUGUCCUUAACAGAAUAAGAAAGGAACUCUUUAAUAAUCAUGAAGUAUGAUUUUAAUAAGGUUAAAAUGGGUUUAGAGGAGAGUUAGAUGGUUACCCGAAGAAGGCACUAGUUCAAAUAAUUCAUUGCCUGAAAUUGUUUUUUGCCGAUGCAGUGUUUAUGAUAUGUUAUCCUACAUGGGAGGCUGAUUGGGACAUCUCACAAGAGGGUUCCCACGGUAUACUCACGUUAGGGUAUACCAGAUUAUGAAAAAAUUCAAUCCUUGCGACAAACAUGAAUUGGAGGCUCGGCCGCCGAGUUAAGGGCGAACCCAUGUAGCCCAUGGGUAUUCAGAAUGGUGGGUUGUAUCAUCUAGCUUAGAAGUAAAGUAAAGAGUCGAGUCGAUGGUUUACAGGAAUGUUUUGAAGCCUUUGAAUUAUGCCCAUGUUUUUUACCUAUAUAUUAUGCUAAAUUGAUUUUGAAAUGCUCUCAAUUAUUUUACAUAAAUUAUACAUUAUUUUGGAUUGUUCUACAUACCUGUACUUUCCAAGUAUUGACCCCUUCCCCUACAGGUUCUGAGGCACAGUCCCAUGGCCCCGCUCAGUAGUAGAUUUUUCCCAGAUAGUCAAAAUUGGUGAGCCUCCCUUACUUUGGAAGAAAUCUUAACUGUAUGGUAGUUUCAGUUGUUUUAUGGUCAGCUGAUGGCCUUGUCUCAGUUUAGACAGACUAGUUUAUUCAUUUCAGUAGAGGCUUCGUGGAUUAAUUUAGAUUAGAUUUGGGUUUCUUAUGGAUUUUUGUCGUUAAGUAUUAAGUUUGAUUAUUUGAUUAUAACAUUUUUAGUUUA